AUUGACACCUCUGAGAGUGGA
rnacentral:miRNA from 1 species